CUGUGUCAAUUAUCUCUUGUCUCUCUAUUUUUUUCAAUCUUUCAGAGAUCUCCUUUUUUAUCCGCUGAAAAAUUACUUCGCAGUCGCUUCGAUCAUCAAAACUAGGUUUUUCUAAUUGAUUCAGUCUUUUCAAAUGCGAUAAGUAGGAAAUCAUCAUCAUCAUUUCUUCUUCGAUUUUGUUUUUUUAUUCGAUUUUUUAUCGAUAUUGAAUGUCUGCUCUUUGGAUCAGUCAAAAAACUGUUCGACCUUUUAUCACUAUCUUCACUUUAUUGAACAAAACGUUGAAUGUUUUUGUAUCUUGAUGAUUCAGCUAUUUUUUGAAUUAUUUCGGUUUGAUUUUUCAUUUUAGGUUUUUGAUUUUGAUAAAAAUUUGAUGUGAAAUUGAAGAAACUAAUAACGAUGGAUUUGAAAUAGAGAGUGACUGGUGAUGGGGAUAGAGAAGAAGAAGAAUUUGUGAUCCAUCUAGGGCGGAUUAUAACAGGUAUGUUCGUAUAGUUUUUUGAUUAUGUUAUGAGGAUUUUGUUAAUUUGGCAUUUCUGAAUUUGAUGUUGUACAUUUGAGGUACAGUUUUCUCAAUUAUUUUGUAUUUUCAUCACCACUACCACAAAUCUAUAGUAUAGCCAUGUUUAUAUGUGGAAAUUCCACUUAUAUUCCAAUAUAGACAAGAUUAAUAGGAAGAAAAAAAAUGAAAGAAGGGAUAAUUGGUCAUAGGCCAGGAACGUAUACAAAACUAAUUGAAACUUGCACCAAUUAUUGUGUCACAGUCUGUAAGAUCUAAGCACGAGGAUCAAUGGGGUACAUUAGCUAAGUUGAGCCGCCAAGACCGAGAAACCACAGUAGUAGUACAUAUCUACAUUCCGGGUCUUCUUCAUUCAUAUUGUUUUAACUAUACUAGUGUAAAGACGGAAAAAUGUAGAGUAAACUAUAUGUGUAUUAGUAUAAAUUUUUGUAUACUAGAUGGUAGAUAUUUCAGUACGUAGCCUUAUUAGGUAUUUAAAUUUCACAAAAUGGUAUGCACUGUCUUGUUUGUUAGGUUUUGGAGUACUGUGUCUACAAUAAUUUUAUAAGGCUGGGGCAUGUCAAACGUAUAUGGUUUACAUGUACCAAUUGAUUUCUUUUUUGUUUUUAUAAUCACAAAUUCAGUUAAAACAUGUAUUCUGAUAAGGAAUCUCAAUGUAGAGAAAUGCUUAAUUGAGUUGUCAUUACAACUAGGAAGGUUUGGCGUUGAUUGGAUUGUUUGAGUUAUAUUUGAUUUUUUUUGAUAAUAAUUUGGAGAAGUAAGGAUGUUUAACCAUUUUACACACUCAAAAUGAUCUUGGUGGGCGGGAACAAGCAUCCAGGGACCAGCAAAGUUUGUUGUGGGCAUAGUUAUCUCAGCAAGUUCACUUCCACGUCUUUGCGCCUCCAGAACAUAAAUAUAUUUUAUUUAUUAUCUGCUGGAGUUAAGAUCUUUGCUGAUCAGAUGUUUUUGGCUAUACUUGAUGUUAAAAACUUGUUCGUUCAUCUGGUAUGAUGAAUCAAUUUGUCGAAACCAUGGCUCAAAGUUGGUUAUGUUGCAAGCGAUUGCUCAUCGUUUUUAAGCCCAGGGAUGUACUACCAAAAGAUGAUCGAGAAGAAUAAGAAAUUCAACUUUUUAGGCUAGCAUUAAUGCUUGCAAUCUCUUGAAAGCUUGAGAAAGGCUCUUAGGCAGAUCAGUUCCACAUGUGCCAAACAAGAGUCUUUCUCAAGCUUUGCAGAGAUGGUAACUAUAUUGUUAGUAUGCCAAUAAAUUCCAUAUAAUAAAAAAUGAAAUAGGCUUCGAGCCGAUUAAUCUGAUGGGUUUCAGACUGAUGCAUUCAGGGACCUGCCACUGUUAAGAAAUGAUGUGGAUUUUCAAAGGAAUUGUUUGACACUUUUCUUGCAGGAUAAUUUCUCUCUCCUACGAAAUAUAUUGUCUUUUACUUUAUAAUAAUGUAUCUUUUACCUUGAUGAUUUUGGUAUGCCUAUUUGGUCAGGGUUUGCGCUACCUUUUUUAGGAUCAUUGUUUUAUAUCGCAUGACCAGUAAAGUUAACUAGUUAGAACUGCAUCACCCAAGUAGCAAUUAUGACGAGGAGUCUAUGAUGAGGAGUCUGUCUCCUUUAUGUGGAGAGUCUAAAAUGGUGUACAAACUGGUGCACUAGUCUAUUUCCUAUGAGAAGUAUCCAGUUUGUGAGUAAGAAUGCUUGAUUUCAUCAUAUUUUGUAGGUGUGUACAUACAUGUGCACCGGUGUAUUUCCCAUGAAAAAGUAAGUCCAAAUGUGGGUAUGAAUGAGCGAUUUCAUGCUGUUUUAUAGGUGUGUACAAAGUAGUACAAUUGAAAAUAAUGGCUCCACAAGCUUAUGCUUGGUAUCAUUAUAUAGACUUGUCAUGCUUUUGAUUAGAUAAUCUUAUUCUAAUCUGUUUCCACUGUUGUUUGAAAGCGAACGUGUCAAAGAAUUGGUGAGCUUCCACGUCUAACCUGACUUGAAUAUUUUACCACACUGACAAAGAGAGGGAGGAGAUGGAUUAUGGGUGUAAUCUCUGAAUUAGAAGAUGGCCAUUUCUACUUGAUAUGAUUGCAGCUGUAACUUGUCUUGUCUUGGAUUUUCUGGAUUUUUGUAGAUGUAUACAUGUUUGUACACCAGUGUAAACUAAGAUUUAAAAAAAAAUGAUAAUUAUAUAGUCAUAU